ACAACAUUCGGACCGUCGGUCUACCGAGCAAUUUCAUCCGCUCGGUGGAAAACCUUGUCUUUGUCGU
rnacentral:pre_miRNA from 1 species